UUUAAUCCAGCUUUCUUUAUGAAAAGGAAGAAAAAACCUUUUACGUUACUGAAAAAAUAAUGUUGAAUUCCAACAAGCAUUUGAGACGAUUGGUGAAGAAAAUUUGACAGAGGACCUGUUACAACAGGUAUUUAACAGCAUUCAGAAGUCUACUUGCCAGCUCUCUAAUGAAAAAAAUCAAUUGCUGUUGAUGAUGGAAGGUAUCAACUUUUCGUCAACAAUUAUAAAGCUUCCGACAUCAAUGAAAACUUCAGUAAAAAAAUACGGAAUUUUGAUGCAAGCUCAAUACCACCGUGUAACUGUGAACUUUACCAGCAACUUUUAAGAGCACAUUAUAUUUCAACAGUUUGAAAAAAUGAUUACAAAAAGCAACCUAUGACAUUGAACCCAUUAGAGUAUGGUUGGGUUGAGGAAGACGAGAAAUUUGUGUUCAAAUGGUUCGAAGGAGACCAGCUUCCAACCCAAACCCCUGAUUGCGAUUCAAUGGAGGACGAAGGCGCGUCAUGCCAC